rnacentral:rRNA from 1 species
GUCCUUGAAUCUAAGAAAUCAUAAAUUUAGUCCCUAAAAGUGCAAAUUGAUAAUCACAUUAGUCCAAAAUGCAAAAAAUUUAACUAAACUAAUAUUAUUGAUAAUUUCAGGAACUAAAAUGACAAUAAAUAAAUGAAUUUAAGAACUUAACAAGGAUCCAUUGGAGGGAAAUUCUGGUGCCAACAACCGCGAUAAUUCCAUCUCCAAUAGUGUAUAUUUAAGUUGUCACAAUUAAAAAGCUCGUAGUUGGACCUUGGGUUGGGUCGAUCAGUCUGCCUCUAGUGUGCACCGGUCUGCUUGUCCCUUCUGUCGACGAUGCACUCAUGGACUUAAUUGGCCAGGUUGUGCCUCCAGUGCUGUUACUUUGAACAAAUUAGAGUGCUCAAAGCAAGCCUACACUUUGGAUACAUUAGCAUGGGAUAAAAUCACAGGAUUCUGAUCUUAUUGUGUUGGCCUUCAGGAUCAGAGUAAUGAUUAACAAGGACAGUCGGGGGCAUUCGUAUUUCAUAGUCAAAGGUAAAAUUCUUGGAUUUAUGAAAGACAAACAAUUGCGAAAGCAUUUUCCAAGGAUGUUUUCAUUAAUCAAGAACGAAAGUUGGGGGCUCGAAGAUAAUUAGAUAUCGUCCUAGUCUCAACCAUAAACGAUGCCGACCAGGGGUCAACAAAUGUUGCUUUUAGGACUCUGCUGGCACCUUAUGAGAAAUCAAAGUCUUUGGGUUUCGAGGGGAGUAUGGUCGCAAGGCUGAAACUUAAAGGAAUUGAUGGAAGGGCAUCACCAAGAGUGGAGCCUGCGACUUAAUUUGACUCAACAUGACGAAACUUACCAGGUCGAGACAUAUUAAGGAUUGACAGAUUGAAAGCUCUUUCUUGAUUCUAUGGGUGGUGGUGCAUGGCCGUUCUUAGUUGGUGGAGCGAUUUAUCUGGUUAAUUUAGUUAAUUAACAAGACCUCAGCCUACUAAAUAGCUAUGUGGAGGUAACCCUCCAUGGCCAGCUUCUUAGAGGGACUAUGGCUGCUUAGGCCAUAAAAGUUUGAGGCAAUAACAGGUCUGUGAUACCCUUAGAUGUUCUGGGCUACAUGUGCACUACACUGAUAUAUUCAAUAAGUCUAUAGCCUUGGGCGACAGGCCCGGAUAAUCUUUGAAAUUUUAUCAUGAUAGGGAUAAAUCAUUGCAAUUGUUGGUCUUCAAUAAGGAAUUCCUAGUAAGCGCAAGUCAUCAGCUUGUGUUGACUAUGUUCUUGCCCUUUGUAGACAUCGCCCGUCACUCCUACCGAUUGAAUGGUUAGGUGAAGUGUUCGGAUUGUGAGAAUUCCACUGAACCUUAUCAUUUAGAGGAAGGAGAAGUCGUAACAAGGUUUCCAUAGGUGAACCUAUGGAAGGAUCAUUG